UUAUGGGGUAAUGCUCUGGGACAGGUGAGAACUACAAAAAACAAAGUUUAAAAUGUGACACUGGUGUAAAUCCUGCUGAAUAUGAAGCAAUGCUGUUCUUUUUGUUGUUUUUUAUAUAUAUUUCUUAUUCUGUAUACGGUCAGUCAAAAACAGUAUGCUUCCCCUCUCACACAUCUGCCACUCAUCACCUGUGUCUUAAUCUUAAUGCCUUUCCUGUGAUAAUUCCCCUUACUUUCAUCACGCUUCUAUCUCCUAUUAAGUGAGAUGACAUUGUAUGGUCACUUAUUCAAAUGCAAGACAUUGAUUGCAUGAGAUUAAGUUUGUAAAUGGCAAGCUGUGCCCUUUUGUAAUGUGUUCAUAUACUAUUUAUCAUCAAACUGUUAUGACAGUGAGGAGGAAAGUCAUCCUCAUAAAAAGAGAGCCAGGGGUCCAGCCAAAGUCUUAACCGAACCACCAGCUCCUGUUAUAUCAGCACCACCUUUUAUCCCAAAAAGCGGCACAGCUGCUCCUCCUACACUCACUUCACCAGCUCACUGUGCACAGACACCAGCAGAAAAGCAAAACCCUUCUACAAGAAAGGUCUACAGACCAACCUGACGGGGGGAAGAAGUGGAUCAGACAGUAUCGCCUGCUCUGCUGCAGAAGUCCACAUUAUGAGUUUAUUGGAAUUAAUAAAACACCAGCAGGAGCAAAUAAUUGCUAAAGUAAAUUAUAUUUCGAGCAAGUUGAACCCGGCAGCCUAAGACAUGGAAAUGCCUGACAACCCAGUGGAUUUUCCAUUAACAUCAAUGGAGGAAGUGGAGAAUUUUGAGGAGUGGCUCAGAAAUCCCACAAAUAAUAAUCAUAUAAAGUUGAGUGUGAUUUCUUCCCUUGCAACUGUUGGGGGCCAUGACACAAAACGUGUCACCUGGAACAUCCUUUCCCACAUGUCCAUGAUGACGUUGGGAGGAGGAUCAACUGGAAGAGCGUGAAUGGGAAAAAAGCAUUCAGCCAGAUGGAGUCCAAGAAGUUCCUCCCGUGUAAGUAAAUGUGGGAAUGUCAGCAGGAGCAAACAGUUCUGACUCACACAUAACGAGCAGGUACGACACACCUAGGGCGAGGGGAGGUUUCCACUAGUUAUUCAAUCGCAGAUGGUUUCAUUAUCUUGGCCGGAUACAAAAGUCUUAACAAAACUGUGAAUAAAUAAAACUGUUUGAAAAAAAGUGUGGCCUUCUCUCUCAAAACAAACAGUUGAAAGGGAUAUUUUAGCUACAAAGUUUGCACACACAUUCACAUGAACUAAUUCGUGCUCAACUUAUGUAAAAUGGCUAUUUUUGCUCAAAAUAGAUAUUCUUUUUUUCACAAAACACAUUAAGGAGGAACAGAUCUUUUAACCAGAGUAUCAGAAUAGCUCGCCUCUCCUUACCCACACUUCUUCUUCUGCUUCUAGCUUUUUAUUGCGGUUGGCAAACAAACAAAAAGGUGCAUUCCCGUCACCUACUGAGCUGGAGAGUAAUUCACUGAUGAAACGGGAAGAAAAACUAAGCUGAGAGAAAGAGAAAGUAAAAAAAAAAACUUAUGGAAAGCACCAGAAAUAAUAAACUGGCCUCCAAUUCUUCUUAAACAGGUGAAUCUUUCUUAAAUAUUUUAAUAAUACUUUAUAUACUCUAUAACUUCCAAGUCAUUAUUCAGCAUAAUAUUUCCUAUCCCCAUUUCUUUUAACACUUUCACCAGUAUUAUCCUUUCAUUUUGAUAAGCAGUGCAAUAUACUAAUAGAUGUUCUACAGUUUCUGCUAAUCCACAUAGACUGCAAUUCCCAGACUCGUGUUUGUUCAUUUUAUACAGGGAAUAAUUUAAGAGCUGUAUGCCCAAGUCAAAGUCUGCUAAUGAUUGUGUCUUCUCUUCUAGUGCCACAACUUCCUCUUUCAUCACCAAUUUUAUUUUGAAUCUGAAGAUGUCUUCCCCUUUCCUCUUCAUUCCAUUGUACUUGCCAUUUGCCUUUUAUAGCUGUUCUAAUUAUAGCCUUAACUUCUUUAUACAGUGGAAUAUUCAGUUCUAUAGAAGAUUACGUCUCCUUUACUAGACGAUCCACUUUCUCAUUUCAGUCUACUCCCACAUGUACACAUGAAACACAUAUUGCUUCCCCAUGAAUUUAACUUGCACAGAAUUUUUAUCUUAUACAAAACAGUUUCAUAUAGAAUAUGUUGUCUUGAGGAUCUUCCACUAAUUCGACUUUAUAAUGCUGAGAAAGAAUCUGAGCAUAUCACAGCAGCCAUCUCUGUUGUGAAUCCUUAUUUAUAACCCUAUAUUAUAUCAUUAAUAUUUUCUUUUGCAUGUAAUAGACUCCUGUCUACUAAUUGUAAAUAGAUAAGCCAUGGUGACAUGCCAAACUUUACAGAAGAAAAAAUACAAUUUAAUAAUACAACAUUUGGUUCACUGACGAGGGCUUCAUGUUAAUCCGUCUCUGCUGCAGUAUGUGACCACAAAUACUGAAAGCCCUCUCGGAUGGUGCACUGGAAGCUGUAAUGAAAAGUACAUGGCGUGUUACUUUGCUUAAUCUCGCAAAUUCUUGACAUUGUCUUUUCCACCACUGGAGGACAUCCAACUUUAUCCCUUAAAUAUCUCGCUAUGUUCUUAUCUUUUUUCUUAAGAUUGUUCUUAAGACAAAACCUAAGAAGAAUUUAAAUUCUUGAAUAUAAUCUUCUUAAAAAUCAUUACACUGCUGUUAUUUUGCAUAUAAUAGAUUGUUCAACAAUACUUUGCACACUCAUUCAACUGUAUUUAUUACCACUGUUCUCACGUUCCUGCUAUUCAUAAUGUAUAUAUAAUCCUUCAUUGCUCUGUUCAUAAUGUACAUACAAUAUCUACAUUGCAUUCAUAUUUAUAUUCUGUAUAUACUCUGAUCAAUAUUGUAUAUAGCAACUCCACUGUACAUUCUGUAUAUCAUAGCUUUACUUACUCUGCACUUUUAUGUAUAUAAAACACUAUAUUCUUGCACUUCUGGUUAGAUGCUAACUGCAUUUCAUUAGCUCUGUACUUGUACUCUGCAUAAUGACAAUAAAGUUGAAUCUAAUCUAAUCUAAUCUAAUCUAAAAAUCAUCGUAAAUAACUUCUUAAAUUACGGACAGCCCCAGGCUUGUCUUAAAUCCCAAACAAUAAUAAUUGUUUAAUGAAUUUAUUGGUCUUUAGUUUAGCAUAACAUGCAUCGGCACCGUCUCAGUCUCUGUCCGGUACUAGUGAAAUAAUAAAGCUGAAGGUACAAUUCAUAUUUCUUUAUUAAAUAAAUGAUAAAGUAAUUUUGAGCAUUUUUCCGCUAUUUUAGUUUUCCGGGUUUAAAAUCUUCUCUGUUUGUUCACGAUGUCACAGAUUGUGACGUUGCAAUGGACUAUAGUAUAUUAAUGAAGUGUCGGUGUCUCAUAAUUAUUUAUGAGACUGAGUUUUCUUAUCCUAUGAAAAUACACUGCUCUUAAUUAUUCACAACAGCACAUGACGCUUUCCAAUAAUAUACCUGUCAAACUGUGAGACAGUGCAGUAGUUAGGAGUUCAUAGUACGGGUCGCAAGUGUUUGUUUCCAUUGUUUAAAUUCAUUGGUGAUGAUAGUGGUCCUGACAGGACCAGAUGAGUCUUAUGACUGUAGCCUGAGAGCUGGAACAGUUUGUUUCUGGAUACAGCAGUGUCACAGCGAGGGCCAAAUCCUGAGUGGAGAGUGAGCAUCUGAAACCGGAACUGAACUGACAGGGAGGGUUUCCUGCCCACUCUCAUUCACCUCACAAUGUCUGUGUCUCUGGUUGUUCC
ensembl:lncRNA